AUUGAACGCUGGCGGCAUGCCUUGCACAUGCAAGUCGAACGGUAACAGGCCUUCGGAUGCUGACGAGUGGCGAACGGGUGAGUAAUACAUCGGAACGUGCCUAGUAGUGGGGGAUAACUACUCGAAAGAGUGGCUAAUACCGCAUGAGAUCUACGGAUGAAAGCAGGGGAUCGCAAGACCUUGUGCUACUAGAGCGGGCGAUGGCAGAUUAGGUAGUUGGUGGGAUAAAAGCUUACCAAGCCGACGAUCUGUAGCUGGUCUGAGAGGACGAUCAGCCACACUGGGACUGAGACACGGCCCAGACUCCUACGGGAGGCAGCAGUGGGGAAUUUUGGACAAUGGGCGCAAGCCUGAUCCAGCAAUGCCGCGUGCAGGAUGAAGGCCUUCGGGUUGUAAACUGCUUUUGUACGGAACGAAAAGCCCUGGGUUAAUACCCUGGGGUCAUGACGGUACCGUAAGAAUAAGCACCGGCUAACUACGUGCCAGCAGCCGCCGUAACAC
rnacentral:rRNA from 1 species